rnacentral:rRNA from 1 species
UACGUAGGGGGCUAGCGUUGUCCGGAAUCAUUGGGCGUAAAGCGCGUGUAGGCGGUCCGGUAAGUCCGCUGUGAAAGUCGGGGGCUCAACCCUCGGAUGCCGGUGGAUACUGUCGGGCUUGAGUACGGAAGAGGCGAGUGGAAUUCCUGGUGUAGCGGUGAAAUGCGCAGAUAUCAGGAGGAACACCAAUUGCGAAGGCAGCUCGCUGGGACGUUACUGACGCUGAGGAGCGAAAGCCAGGGGAGCAAACGGG